rnacentral:lncRNA from 1 species
AUGGCCUUAUGUGGAGGUCACAUAGAGAUGGCAUAGGUGCCUCUAUUUUUCUUUCCUUUUUUGCAGUAUGGGGUUGCACCCAGGACUUUACCUGCGGUAGGCAAGGUCUCCACCUCUGGCCACACACUCAGCCUUUCAGAAAAUAUUUACAUACUAUUUUUAUGUGUAUGCAUUUGUGUCUGAAUAAAUUUAUGUGCCCCGAGCUCUUAAGAGGCCACUGAGGCCAGAAGAGGGCAUCAGAUCUCCUGGAGUUACAGGAUGUUGUGAGCUGCUCUGGGGGUGCUGGGAACAGAGCACAUAGGUGCUCUAAACAGCUGGCCCUCUUUCCAGCCCCCUUGAUGUGUUUCUUGACUUUUUGGUUAAAGGAUAAUGACUUAGAACAUCCCUCUGUGCUUCUGUUUCAGGAGAACUAUGAGCAGAUGAAAGCUUUAGUGAAUCAACUUCAUGAACGAGCCCAGUAUGUAAGACUGGGUAAGUGUGUCUGUCUGUCUGUCUGUCUGUCUGUCUGUCUGUCUUACAGCUUGAUAUGUACCCCAGGCUGGCCUUGAACUCAUGUUCCUCUUGCUUUACUCUCCCAAACAGUGUGAAUACAGUCAUGGGCUACUACUUGCAGCUACAAAGUAAGAUUCUUAGUGUAUUACAGGUACCUACCUUAGAAGGAGCAAUGUGAAUGUUAUAGCCCUCAUUAAAAAAUACUCCCCACAAUGUCCUCACAGGCAGGUUCUGUUUUGUCCAUAACCUGUGCUCUGAGAAUACUGUUGCAAUCUUAGGUAUUACUAUGCCUGGAAGACCGCUUUCAUCUGUUGAAGUGAUUAGAGAAGUAAAAAUAUAAAAAAAAAAAAA